UACGGAGGGUGCAAGCGUUAUCCGGAUUCACUGGGUUUAAGGGGGCGUAGGAGGGCAGGUAAGUCAGUGGUGAAAUCCCCAAGCUUAACUUGGGAACUGCCAUUGAUACUAUCUGUCUUGAAUACCGUGGAGAUGAGCGGAAUAUGUCAUGUAGCGGUGAAAUGCUUAGAUAUGACAUAGAACACCAAUUGCGAAGGCAGCUUACUACGGAUCGAUUGACACUGAGGCACGAAAGCGUGGGGAGCAAACAGG
rnacentral:rRNA from 1 species